rnacentral:rRNA from 1 species
GACAUCCCUGGAAUCCCCUGGAAACAGGGGAGUGCCCUUCGGGAGCCAGAAGACAGGUGCUGCAUGGCUGUCGUCAGCUCGUGUCGUGAGAUGUUGGGUUAAGUCCCGCAACGAGCGCAACCCUUGUCAUUAGUUGCUACAUUCAGUUGGGCACUCUAAUGAGACUGCCGGUGACAAGCCGGAGGAAGGUGGGGAUGACGUUAAGUCCUCAUGGCCUUUAUGCCCAGGGCUACACACGUGCUACAAUGGGUGGUACAAAGAGAUGCCAACUCGCGAGAGCGCGCCAAUCUCAGAAAGCCAUCCUCAGUUCGGAUUGGAGUCUGCAACUCGACUCCAUGAAGUUGGAAUCGCUAGUAAUCGCGGAUCAGCACGCCGCGGUGAAUACGUUCCCGGGCCUU